rfam:Dipodomys ordii contig_43737, whole genome shotgun sequence.
GGUGGCUCAGUGGUAGAGCACUUGCCCCUCAAGCAUGGGGCUCUGGGUUCGAUUCCUCAGCACCA